GGCCCGCACAAGCGGUGGAGUAUGUGGUUUAAUUCGAUGCAACGCGAAGAACCUUACCAGGGUUUGACAUCCUGCGAAUCUCUUGGAAACGAGAGAGUGCCUUCGGGAACGCAGUGACAGGUGGUGCAUGGCUGUCGUCAGCUCGUGUCGUGAGAUGUUGGGUUAAGUCCCGCAACGAGCGCAACCCACGUCGUUAGUUGCCAGCAUUUUAGUUGGGCACUCUAGCGAGACCGCCGGUGAUAAACCGGAGAAGGUGUGGAUGACGUCAAGUCAUCAUGCCCUCAUCAUCUGGGCUACACACGUACUACAAUGCUACGGACAAAGGGCAGCAAACUCGCGAGAGCUAGCAAAAUCCCAUAAACGUGGCUCAGUUCAGA
rnacentral:rRNA from 1 species